rnacentral:rRNA from 1 species
GGAAUCUUGCGCAAUGGGCGAAAGCCUGACGCAGCAACGCCGCGUGCGGGAUGAAGGCUUUCGGGCUGUAAACCGCUUUCAGCAGGAACGAAACUGACGGUACCUGCAGAAGAAGGAGCGGCCAACUACGUGCCAGCAGCCGCGGUGACACGUAGGCUCCAAGCGCUGUCCGGAUUUAUUGGGCGUAAAGAGCUCGUAGGCGGUUGAGUAAGUCGGGUGUGAAAACUCUGGGCUUAACCCGGAGACGCCACUCGAUACUGCUCUGACUUGAGUUCAGGAGGGGAGUGGGGAAUUCCUAGUGUAGCGGUGAAAUGCGCAGAUAUUAGGAGGAACACCGGUGGCGAAGGCGCCACUCUGGACUGAAACUGACGCUGAGGAGCGAAAGCAUGGGUAGCAAACAGGAUUAGAUACCCUGGUAGUCCAUGCCGUAAACGGUGGGCACUAGGUGUGGGUUCCAACUAACGGGAUCCGCGCCGUCGCUAACGCAUUAAGUGCCCCGCCUGGGGAGUACGGUCGCAAGACUAAAACUCAAAGGAAUUGACGG